UACGUAGGUGGCAAGCGUUGUCCGGAAUUAUUGGGCGUAAAGCGCGCGCAGGUGGUUUCUUAAGUCUGAUGUGAAAGCCCACGGCUCAACCGUGGAGGGUCAUUGGAAACUGGGGAACUUGAGUGCAGAAGAGGAAAGUGGAAUUCCAAGUGUAGCGGUGAAAUGCGUAGAGAUUUGGAGGAACACCAGUGGCGAAGGCGACUUUCUGGUCUGUAACUGACACUGAGGCGCGAAAGCGUGGGGAGCCGAACAGG
rnacentral:rRNA from 1 species